rnacentral:rRNA from 1 species
UGGGGAAUUUUGGACAAUGGGCGAAAGCCUGAUCCAGCAAUGCCGCGUGUGUGAAGAAGGCCUUCGGGUUGUAAAGCACUUUUGUCCGGAAAGAAAUCCUCUGGGUUAAUACCUCGGGGGGAUGACGGUACCGGAAGAAUAAGCACCGGCUAACUACGUGCCAGCAGCCGCGGUAAUACGUAGGGUGCAAGCGUUAAUCGGAAUUACUGGGCGUAAAGCGUGCGCAGGCGGUUUUGUAAGACGGAUGUGAAAUCCCCGGGCUUAACCUGGGAACUGCAUUCGUGACUGCAAGGCUAGAGAUGGCAGGAGGGGGUAGAAUUCCACGUGUAGCAGUGAAAUGCGUAGAGAUGUGGAGGAAUACCGAUGGCGAAGGCAGCCCCCUGGGCCAAUACUGACGCUCAUGCACGAAAGCGUGGGGGAGCAAACAGGAUUAGAUACCCUGGUAGUCCACGCCCUAAANGAUGUCAACUAGUUGUUGGGGACUUCAUUUCCUUAGUAACGUAGCUAACGCGUGAAGUUGACCGCCUGGGGAGUACGGUCGCAAGAUUAAAACUUAAAUGAAUUGACGGGGUCAUAGCUGUUUCCU